rnacentral:lncRNA from 1 species
GAGUAACGCCCCCAAAUCCGGGUUACAUUUAACUCGAGUUUGGUGCUCACGAUAAUAACAUAACCAUUCAUACUAUCAUAAACCUGUUUUAGAUUACAUAAAUACUUUACUUAAAUCCCAAGUUCUAUAGACCUUUACAUAACUUAAAUACCAAAUAACAUUUCAAAACAUAGUAUUACAAGUAUUUAUUACAUUCACUACUUAAGUUCAAUUAAGCACAGGCGCUUAAUUAAUGACUAUUCAACAACUUUGCCUUUUCUUUUGUCUUUCCCAGAUGGACCAGCAACCUCAGUGUUAACUGAAAUCAUUAUAUUUAACGCAAGGGUGAGCAAUAGCUUGCUCAGCAAGAAAAUAAGCAAUUAAAUAUAAUAGAACAGAAAUAUUUAUAUCAAAGAGGUUACAAUACAAUAGAUAUUGAACAAUAUAAUUCUUUAAAAGUGUUAAGCAGGCUAUAGCAUGCUGUAAGGUCAAAUGACCAAUGAACUCUAUACUAGAAUUAAUAGUAAUAAUACUGCAAUCCAUAGAUACAAACAGUUAUAAAAUCUAUUUUAUAUCCUAGACUCGUACCUUAGGGGAUCAGCCUAAGUACCCUACAUUGUGCACAACAUAACAGUUUAAUAACACUUUACAUGUCCUUCGGAAUCAUAUGUCUGGUACAAUAUGCCCCUAUAAAAGGGUUGUUCGUUCACAACAUUAUAUAAGAAUCCAUACCACAACAAAAAAGGUUUGGGAUAUAAACUGAUAAUUUCAUGAAUAAUAUCAAUAUAUCUCAACAGUUGUCUAACCGAAGUAAUGGUAUUGACAUACUUUCAAUGUAAACUCAUUCAAGAUAGAAAAGUUCGAUAUACUAUUAUUUUGAAGCUGAUUGGAAUAAAAAGGCUAUUUAACCUUAUAUUCUUUUGAAGCUGAUUGGAAUAAAAAGGCUAAUUAACCUUAUAUUAUUCAUAAAUAAGGAGAGACAGUUCAGAAAUUAGAGAACCUAUCCACUACAAAAUAGUUGCUCAAUAAAGAGUAAGAGUUAGAAACUUGCCUUGUUUGUAGUCUAUUGUUAGGAUUUCAGCUUAAUUGUAGUGUUCUCAUAAAUCCUACACAGUUAUUUACAUUAACAAGCAUGUUAGCCACAUAGCCAAGUCAUAUAGUUUGUAAGCUCACAUAUCACGUAAUUUCAAUGAUCAUGGUUGUAGUUAAAUUGCUAUAUUUGAUACAUUUUUCAAAUAUCUCAUCCAUGCUCUUAUUAUAGCCAUUUUUCUCUUUAAUAAGGUCUAGUAAGUUUGUAAUAUAUGAAUACAUUGAAAUUCUAAGUUAUAAACCAUUCAAAGCUUACUAUAUGACAUUUUAUGUUUUCUGUACAUAAUCCAAGUGUACAAGGAAAAUUUAUAGCGUAAUUCAUGUCUUUGAAGUAAUUAUAAUUUAUUUGGUUAACUUAUAGCUUUUAUAAUAAUUUAUAGCUUCAUUCUGUUGCAUCAUUAAGUUUCAUCAUGUUAUCAAAAUAGUCCUUCAAGGUAUUAACAACUUCAAACUUGGCUUAACAGCCUUUUUGAAGUAAUAGCAGUUCCUUACAUAUCAUGUCCUUCUUUGCAAGUAUCAUCUUUUACAUUACUCACUUGGUUGAACUGCAGAUUUGCUAUAUAUUUUACACACAUGUUUUAGGAGUUAGAAAUCAAGUUUUUAUGGUUAAACUUUUGUGUUAUGCCAUGAAGCUAAAACUAUCCCACUAACACUGCUGUAGCAGUUGUUAGUUGCCACUGCUGCUGCUAGUGGGCAACAGCCCUUGCCUUGGAACACAUGAGUUAAUAGUCCUUCUUCCUCCUAUUUUCAAACCCAUUCAUGCUUGAAAAAUAGAUGAUACCUUAGCUUAUGAUAAAGACCCAGCAAUUAAGCAUCUAUAGGCAUAUAGGUGUACCAACUGAAAGCUAAAUAAAGCUCCCAGCCCAUAACCAUCAUGCUCACUGUUGCUGGUACAUGCUUCUGCCUGCUAGGCAACAGCUCCUUUCUUUGCCUUCCAAUUUUUUGUACCUUAUUCUCGUCCUUUUUGACCCUUUUGCACUAAGUUUUGGGUAUUACAUAACUAGUAUAUACCCUCAUUGCAAAGAAGUACUACCUGGGCAGACAGAAGUCUAACUGUGUUAAACCCGAGCAUCAAGGGAAGCCCCAAUUAAUGCUAUACAUAGUUGCUGCUGCUGCAGUGGGCAGCAGAUGGGAUCUUUCUUUCAUGCCAUCUUUGGCUUCUCAUUAGGUAGUCCAUUCAUAACUCAUAGUUGGUAUAUCCAUCUUCUAAGAUGGGGUCAGAUUUAUCCCGACGGGAGCAAGUCUACCACUGCAUCCAUGUAAAAAUAAACAAAUCAUGGUUAUGUCAAAUUGACUGCCAGGCUCUGCAGCACAACGCUAGGCGCUGGCUGCUGCUGCCUGCAGCAGCUUUGGUAGUCCUCAACUCCUAUACAGCUCGUCCAUGUUGCAAGUUUAGUAACCUUUGAUUCAUAGGUUUGUUCAUACCCACUUUUAGAUAUAUAAUAUAUAGUAUAUAGGGGUACUUUUUGAAUUAAUAAAACCUCUAUUUCAGUUUCAAUAUACUGCCUAAAACAGUGGGUAAAAAUAGCUUGACACACUGAAUUUCAAUCAAUGGUUUCGGCUUGAAAUUGAAUUUCAUUUUAAUCUAGUAAGCUUAAACUUUCUAAUUAUCAUUAUACGUGGUGUCCGUAUCUAGCCCAAGCUUUCAUUCUAUCAAAUAACCAACUUUUAAGCAAAACAGUCCUUUAGGGACUUUUAUCAAACUACUAAUGUGCAUAAUUUAAAACUACUUGUGUCAUAGCUAUUUGCAUGUAUUAACACACCAUUUUAUCACCCUUAUACCUCCGCACAACCAACCUAUCUCCUCCAAUCUAGUACCAGCCAUAGCAAUUCAUAAAACAUUCAGAUUUCUAUAUUAACCAAUACAUACAACUAGUUAGUUCAUGUUCCUUUCAUACUAUCACCUGUGCUUCUAAUUAUGCAAUAUAAGAUAAUAUAAUAUCUAUACACAUCAUUGUUAACCUUACUCAUAUAAUACCACUAUCAGUUGGUAAAUUCCAAUACAUAAUCAAAACUACACAUUCUCCACCAAAUUUUUAACUUGUAGUUAAUAUACUACAAUACACUAAAAUUUUGGAGACAAUAUAAGUAAUAUACUUACCAUCUUGAAUAGAAUACUAACCAAGUCGUUUAAACUACUAGGCUUGCCCAUUGAAAACUUAAAAGAAAAACUCUCCACCCAAAUCAAUUCACUGUUACUGUUGCUGCCAUAGGCAACAGCCAUGUGCCUAUCAUGGCCAAUUCUUUAAUUUGUUGCUUCAAAUUCAAAUGUUCCUUUAUAUCCCUUUUUAGAUAUAUUACACCUAACAUAUAGCAGUAUUUGUAUAGAUCACAGCAUCAUCAUUUUAGUUUUAAUUGGCUGCACAAAACAGCCCAUAUAGAGCAUUAUAGAUAUGGUUUAAUACCAUUAUACCAAAACAGCACCAAGUAUUGAAUUCCAUAUAUUACCACAACAAGUACUUGCUAUAUACUAUAUUUUUCAUAAUACCUUACGAUUUUUGCUCAAAACACUUUUUAAGCUUCUAACACAAGUGUUAUUACAUCAUGUACUUGUUGCUAUAUAAUAUAGAUUCAUGACUUAAAGAACCUAAGUGCAAGGCUUCUAGUUUUGGUUUAAAACAGCCCUUCAUAGGCUUCAACUAGAUACAAGGUAGCAUGAUUUGAAAAAUUUUAGAUACCAAGGUAACAUGAUUAGGCAACAAGGAAACAAGGACUGUCUAUGUAUAUAAUAUAUUAGAAGCAAAGCAUGUUCACCAUAAGAAACUUUCAAUAACAGUCACAAGGACUGACUUUUAUUUAUUGAAAACUAACAUACUUAAACUUCACAAGUAAUAGUAUUAGUGGGUUGAAAUUAUAGACAUCUUGUUAUAGUGUACUAACUAGAUUAGAAGCAAGUGAUAGACAUUGCAAGUUAAGCUUCAAAUAGCAGUCCAUGUGGAGCCUACUAUUCUAGUUCAUUCUUACUUGCUUUGCUCAAGUGAUAAAUUACUAUAGAUUGCAACAUGAAAAGGUCAAUUAUAGAGUAUGCUUGAGGUAUUGCUCCCACUAUAUGGGCAAUUUGACAGGGUUUGAACUCCAAAUCACAGUUAGUACACAUAGAUACUACAACAGUCCUUAGCUUGGCAAAUUAUCAAACACAUAAAGUGCAGUUUAUAUACUUAUAUAUAUUACAUAAUCUUUUAACUUAUUGUUUCCCCCAGCCGUAUGGCUUAAACACAAGAAGAAUAUAACCAUUCCUAACAGUCUCAAUCAUAAAAUCCAAAAUAACAUUGAAACAGUCAUGGUGUUAAUUAAUUCAAUAGCCAUCCUAACCAUUAACAGUUCAGUUGCUACCAUUUAGAGAGACAGGAACGAAUGGAUUAGGAAGGCCAGAAUGAGCUUACUUGUUGAUUCGAAGGUUACAAGUCGAGCUGCUCAGUUUCCUUUUUCCUUCUCAGCCGUAGCCUUAACUGAUCUCUCUCUGUGAUUGCUAAAAAAUUUUGGAGCUCGGUGAAGGUAGUAUGUCUAUUUGAGCUUGAGAUGUCUUAUAGGGUCAUAUACGGUUGAAUUCCUUAUCUCUCAGUCCAACUAAUUGACCCCUUGCUGGCCUCUACAUAGCCAUUCUACCAAGCAGCAGCACUCAGUCCUAGCCUAGUUAAUUUGGCUCUUACCCAGCCACCCUUUCAAGCUUUCAGUAAUGAUUUCUAGUCUAGUCUACCCAGCCCCUAUUAGAAGUGUCAGCUUUCUGACUCAUAGUUGCCCUUUCCCUGGUUCUUGGAGGCAAGUUGUUGACUAUCAACUGAUUCCCUCAGCCUAACUGAACUACCUUUACCAGAGCUCAGUUCUUUAUUUUCUCUAUUCGGGCUACCAAAUAUGGCUGAGGAAAGGGGCUAGAUUUAAGUCUUGUUUUUGGGCUUAAUACAUAAGUCUAAUGUAGUAAUGAC